UUUUGAUUUGCAUUUCUCUGAUAAUGAGUGAUGUUGAGCAUCUUUUCAUGUGUCUGUUAGCCAUCUGUAUGUCUUCUUUGGAGAAAUGUCUGUUUACUUCUUUGGCCCAUUUUUUGAUCGGGUAUUUUAAGCCCUCCUCCUUGAACCAUUGUUUGCUCCAGAGUCAAAGUGCCCCCUGGCUCUUUGACAAUCUUAACAGCCAUUGCUUCUCAGUUACCCUUCCUGGCUGUCCUUCCUCAGCCUGAGCUCUACAUGUUGAAAGGUGUCAGCAUCAAUUUUUUGUAGCUUUCUUCGUCUGGGUUAGUAAUACUGAAAGUGUUAGUUACUCAGUCGUGUCUGACUCUUUGCAACCCCGUGGACUGUAGCCAGCCAGGCUCCUUUGUCCAUGGAAUUCUUCAGGCAAGAAUACGGGAGUGGGUAUUCAUUCCCUUCUCCAGGUUGGAGAAGGGGAUUUUCCCAACCCAGGGAUCAAACCCGGGUCUUUGCCUCACUUGCUAUCAUUUAAGUAUUAACAUCUACUUGCCAGUAACCUGCAAUUCAUUAACUUUCCCCAUGACCCAUGCCCUGCCCUCUAGGCUGUAUAUCAAAUUGUCUAUUCAGCAUCUUCACUUUUGAGGCUAAAUAUCAGGUCUCUUGGUUCUUUGCCUGCCCCCUCUGUGGCAAUCCUGCUCAUCUACUAGUCUUCCCCAUCUUAGUUAAUGGGCCUGCCAUCCACCUAGUUGCUUAGCUCCUCCCCACCCCCAAACGAAGACUUGUUCUAGAGACAGACUUUUGUCUCCCUUUCACCAUAUACUAACAAGUAUUUUGAGUCCACUUCUACCACACACCAAACAAGUGACUGUUGUUUUUUGUCAUGUUUUAUGUUAGUAAGAUUUGACUCGAAACACACAUGAAUUAUCUUGAUAAAAAUAAGCAUUAAAUUAAAAUAUUACUUUUAUAGAGAUUGUCUCUUGAUUCCUUUCUAGCAAUUAGCUCCUAAAUUACCCAGAAGACCCAUGUGUUCUUAAGUUUGCACAUGCAUUGGAAUUUAUUUUUCCCAAUUUCUUUAAGGGCCUUCAUAUUUUCUUACCCUUCGGACCUAGCUGCUGUGGAUUAGAUACAGACCUAUAUGUCCUUUUUAAAAAUUUGUUUCAUAGUAAAAAUAACAAUAAUGAUGACAACAAUAGUAUUAAUAAUACUGUUAAUAAUUAGCACCUAUUAAGACCUGUGGGCACUGCAGAAAGCACUGUAGAUUCACUGAUGGUCUAGCCCUCACAGUGACACUGGGAUGGAUACUAUCACUGUCCUCAUCUUAGACCUGCCCAAGGUUACACAGAUGGAAAGUGGCAGAGAAACUGGAUACAGACUUAUUUCUGCCAGACUCCAAAGCCCAUGUUUUUAGCCAAAAAUAAUUUAAAAUUUGGAACCACUGAAUCUUCUCAUGCAAAGAAUAUUUUGUCUGCCACACUCAGUAAGAUAUAAAGAUUAGCUCUAGAAAGAUCAUAUAAUAUAAUAAAAUAGACCUUUUUACAUCACUUUUCUAUAGGCCUCAUGGUCUAUUUUUACAUAAUUUGCAAGGUAACUUCACUUUGUGGGUGCUGAAAAAUUGCCAUUCAUUUAUUUUUUUCCUUUAACAUUCAUCUCUUCUCAGUCUCUCUAAUGGACAACUUCACUGACUUCAAAACUGUAAAGGGAGAAACCAGGGUGAAACAUGAACCUAAUGAGAGGAUGAAGUGAAUUAUUAGAAAAGUUUCUCAGAGGAAGAACAUUCAUUGCAGCCAUUUCGAUCUUUGUACUUGACAGUGAGAGUACCACGUAAGCCUGAAUGAAAACAAAACGAGAUUGACUCAAAAUAAACCAGGUUAUGCUAUGGUGACAAACACCCUCAAAAUCUCAGUGCCUUAAAGAGUGCUCACUCACUCAUGACAUACGCCAUCAACGGCCACAUUCUAUGAUAUAUUCUCCAUCUACCCAGCAUCUGUUGAACCCCUAUGUCUUCAUUCUGGGCACAAGGGCCAUUUUUUAGCUUCAUGUAGAAACUACCUCAGGAGAAACCCCUGCACACAGAAGUUCUUUGAUUGAUUUUGUUUGAGGUUUUAAAUGCUUCCUUGGAAGACUGGUUACCCCCAGUGCCUUUUUCCCCUUGAUUUUGGGCCAUUCUGCAGUUGGAAUGGUCUAAUUUGUGCUUCUUUGGCUCUGAGAGCCCCCUCCAAAAUUCUUCUCCAAUUUCUAUCAUGGGCUUUGGAGGCAGAUGAGUAGGCUUGGUCACUUACUACUUGUGUGGCAUUGUACAAUGUCUUCACCUCUCUCAACUUUAGUUUCCUUGUUUGAACAGGGCUAUUGUUCAUUAUUUGAACAGGGAAAAGUGGCUGCAUUUGAGAAAAAGCCAGGAGAUGAUAUUAGUAGCAGUUGUUGAUGACUUGGGUGAGGCAGAGAGAAGAGGCAAGGAUGUCUACCAGGUUUCUAUCUUGACAAAUGGGUGGCGAUGCAUUUUAUUGAGGAGAUAAGAGAAGCAAUUUGUAUGUGUGUGUGUGUGUGACAGAGACAGAGAGAGAUCAAUUUCAACAUAAGGAUUUGAGAUAUUCUCUAGAUAUAUUAAAGCUUACUUUAUUGAUACAUAGGUGUGUGACCUGGACUGAUAAUAGAGGUUUCAAAGUCCUUUGCAUAAAGAAGAUAAUUGAAACUGUAGAAGUAGGUGAGAGAUACUUCUCAAAAUGAGCAGAGUAGAGAGCUCAGGGUGAGCCCUAAGAAUUUCUUUAUUUAAGAAAUAAAUAAAUACUCUAUAGAGAGUAGAGGAUUCUUCCCUCAAAAGUUAGCUUUUGUGUCACCAUAUCCCCUCCUUUUCCUCUUCUGUCUCUGGACAUCUUUUUUUGGGAGGUGGGGGAAGUUGAAGAAAAAGAUUAUAGCCUCAAUAGAGAUGUAUAGGAGAGUAGGGAGGAAAUUUAAUCAAGUGAAAGGAUUGAGAUGUAUUAAAGUUUUAAGAUCAGAGACCAUAUGUUUGUUAUGACAAUAAUCUGAAUGGCUUAACAUUUUACUUGGGAGGGUUCAACCUUCUAGGUACCAAGAUGGCAUUGAUCCUGUGUUGGGAAUUUGCCAGGUAAAUGCAGUAUAAGAAGAGACAUCUAUCUGAAGGUGCUGGUGGUGAGUAGUUCAGAUAGCCAACUACUUAGAGUCCUUUUAGGGGAAUGCUCAUGGACUCUGAGGAGAUGAAGACCCAGGAGCUGGAGGACUCAAUGAAUUUGAAGAGCAGAUAUCUUCAAGUGAGGGUCCUGAGAGCUUUGGGGGAAAGAUGGCUAGGUUAGAGAAUUACAGUGGUUGUAGUUAAUGGUAUGAAACCAUUCUGGUUGAUGACAAGUCUCGGGGUGUAUGCUGGCAGUAUGGGGAAGUCAACUGGAGUGGAGGUGAGAAUUGUUAUUAUGUAUUUGAGGCCAAGGAACAGCAGAUUGAAGGUACUAGGUGAAGACACUGAAGUUUUCUGGAAAGACACUGAAGUUUUCUGGAACAAUGGCAGAAGUUGGGUUUGAGGGGAGGAGUGUUCUGUCUUAAAGCAUGUGACCAGAGGUCAGUAGAUGAUAGAAACAUGUAAGUGUACAUAGUAGUAUUGUCAGAUGUCAAAGAUGCCAGGAUGGAGCUGUGGUGGUUCUAAGGUGGCAUUAAUGGGUUAAUAAAUUGUCACCCCUAUCCUUAGUUCUAUGGUAGGUGAAAUGUACAGUUUAGUGUGGGGAGAUGUUGUGUUUAUUGGUUCCUUUUCUUUUACAUAAAGGAUGAAGAUUCCAGAGGGUUUAGUGGUUUGAGGAGAGAAGCCAGAGAGAAGAGGUAGAGAGCAUGAAGGGGUUAAAAACAGGGGAGGGAAACUGACUUCCUUUUGGCAUGUGAGGAUUAUAGGGACGGAAGCCUUAAUUGGAAUUAAUUGACCACAGACAUUCCAAAGGUGGAAUUAGUCAUAACAAAGAUGUCGGGUCUGAGGUGGGGUCUGGCCCAGUCAUGUGUGGGUGAACUCACUGUGUGGGGACUGGGGUCAUCAAGCAUCUGAACAUGGACCCCCUUCUGUGUGCAGGAUGGAGGACCCGGCCUCUUUUCCCUGGCGUGGUCUCAAGAUGCGACGAGUGGCCACAUGCAGAGUAGUUGUCAUUUAACAUCUCAUUUCCAGCCUCACAAUAAACCUGUAUCCGUGGAGUUGUGAAGAUUCAACACAAUCAUUUGGGGAAAGCGCUUUAACAAAUAUAAUCACAAUAAGUUUGCUGAGUUUUAGUGUUCCCCACACCUUUGAUGUAUUUAUCUCUAUGUUUUUCCAUGUAACUGUAACAUAUUCCUUAAGAUAAUAAGGACUUUCUUCUAAUAAGGACAAAACCAAGAUACUUUAUUUACAGUGUUAGCCUGGCACCUGGGCUGAUUCUCUGUAGUGUUUAUGUAGUCUUGAUGUGGACUGGCAUCUUUCCCUGGACCUUUGAGUAUCUUCCUCAGCAGCUUCUCAUGGCCAGAUGCGCCAUCUCUGUGUCUUUUUAUUACAAUGCCCAGACUCUCUUCUAGGCCACCCACCAAGUUCUUUGCUACAGUCUUAAGGGUGCCUACAGCUCCAGGCUCAUUUGUAGAACAGAGCUGACUGACACACCCUAAGCAAGGGAUGCCAAUCGAGUCUAGUUUUCGAGGUACUGCUUGAUGAUUUGAUAGAAAGGCAUCCACAGGAAAGUAGUACUAGAUUCUGAGAACUGCAGUUUUACAGUGUUCAAUGUCUUCCAGACUUUCUUGGAGAGAGGCAGAUAUGAUACUAGCCAAGAAAAAGUCCUUCCUUUAUUAAACCCCCUAUCUCCCUUUGAAAUUUAACUGAGACUGUACUUGACUUUUUAGAUGUUAAAUUUUCUUGGAAGAGGAAAGAACCUCUUGUGGUGGCAUAGGCUUUAUUUUUUUAGGCAAGGGGGUGUUAAUUCCCAAGUAAUUCAUUAGCUUUGUUGUGUCAUCACUUUUCUGUUCAGUGCAGUAUAACACACUCGGUCAACUAUUAAGAGGCGUACAAAUUAUUUUUAGUAAAAUGUGAGUCAGUCUUGGGAGAAAAAACUAAGCUAUAUGUUUACAACAGUUUACAACAUUCCAGAGAAUUGAAUAGAAGGAGAAAAUACUUUUUUCUUCAGCAUCUGUUUGUACUCCAUCCCUUUAUAUUGGGCAAAAGAGCCAUUUUAUUGACUUCAUGUAGAAACUGCCUUAGGAGUACACCCUGUAUGCAGAAGUUCUCUGAACUGUCACUGAUAUUUUUUUUUAGGCUUUAAAUGCUUCCCUGGAAGGCUGGUAAAUCCCACUGCCGUCUUUCUCUGAUGAGUGAGUGUUAAUCUUUCAGUUGUGUCCAACUCUUUGCGACCCCACAGACUGUAGCUGACAGGCUCUUCUGUCCAUGGAAUUCUCCAGUUGCCCUCUGCAGAGUCAUCUUCUGGAAGAAAACCCCAAUUGCCAAGGAUAAACAUAUUUUUGAUUGUCUUCCUUUUUUUGUAAGUUUGUGGAAAUUUAAUAUGUGAGCAUUCUUUGCAUAAUUUUAUGGGCUCUAACAUUCAGAUGGAGACUAGUAUUAAUUUUUUACUGUAAGAAGAAAAUCUGUACUGUAUCUUCUGUUUAGGAGAUGGGACUUAAUCAUUGUCAUCUUUUGUACUUAGUGGUUCUGCCAAGGCAGUGUGGUCAGAAUGAGGAUGGAAUUUCAAGUAAAAGAAACUUGGGAGAACAUGAGCUUGGUUGAGUCAUACAGGCAACUAUUUCAGCUUCCUCACCUAACACAGCACUAAAAUGUGUUACUGCAAUUACAGAGUGCUGAUUUAAAGGGAAAAUGAAAAGGAUGAAUGCACAAAUGUAAACAGCUAUGCAUCUUGGAAGGAUGUGGAGAGCUGAGAUAUGAAGGAAGAAUAAAGCCUCUCUUUUAAAGCAUACAGCCCACAGCAGUAAGCACAGUGCUGGCCCCAUAGCAAUGGUUCUAUAAUGUUUGUUGAUUGAGCUGUUUUUAAAAAUAGUACUUGUAGCAUACAAAGCAAAGAGCCUCCAAAUGUCUUUAUAAAGUGUAAGAAACAGGCUUUAACAUUUCCAUAUUCGGUUACAAAACACAAGUCUGAAUUCAGAGUAUUUGCUGGGUUGCAGGUGAAGAAGAUAAAAGGAAUCAAUGAAAUUUGAAAACAUUCAAAGCCUACUUUCCCCCUCACCUCCCAAUUCUUCUUUCUCUCGUUUUCCUCUUCUUAUUUCAGGAAUCCAACAAAUUUUCUUUUGGUUCAUCAACCUCUUGUAUUUUGACUCAAGACAACUAUAAUUCAUUGAGCAGGAACCAUGACUUAUUGGACUUUGUAGCCCCCAUGCACAUCAUAGUCUAGUGCCUGGUACAUAAGAGGGAAUUUAAAUAUAGUGGAAUGUUAGUUUGGUUUUUAUUUUCUCUUCCUUUCCCAGAUAUUCCCCUUUUUUCAUUUGUAUAAACAUAAAAAGAAAUUUUUCUUCAUUUUCCCCAAAUUUGAUAAGACUACUCCACACUCCCAUUUUCUUGUUCACAUCUGUGAACAUGACAGAAAGGAUCCUGGCCAUUGAGGACUUUACAUGCCUCAACCAAAGGAGGCAGCACUGAACUCUAGGGAAGGAAAAUUCUACAUGUGAAGAGGUAUGAUGGAGUCCAAGAGAUCUUGAGAAGUAUUCCUGGAGAACUUGCGAGUUGAAGGAAAACAAGGCUGACUAGAUGACACUGGGGAACCAGAAUGUCAGUGAGAGAAGUGUAUUCCAGGCAGACAGGAUUUGAGAGAGAGCAUGAAUCAUUCAAGAAACCCGAGAAGUGGACUUUCUACAGCAGGAGCAUGAGGGUGUAACUCUUUUCCAGUGCUGUAGUGGGUGGUCUCUAAGUGGAUUUGCAGCGGCAAUAACAUCAGUAUGGCAAUACCAUGUGAACUCUUCUGGUAAACAUACACGCUUUCUGAA